UACGUAGGUGACCAGCGUUGUCCGGAUUUACUGGGCGUAAAGAGCGCGCAGGCGGUCGUUCAAGUCGAGUGUGAAAGCCCCCGGCUCAACUGGGGAACUGCGCGGGAAACUGUAGGGCUUGAGUUCGGGAGAGGGAAGCGGAAUUCCGGGUGUAGCGGUGAAAUGCGUAGAUAUCCGGAGGAACACCGGUGGCGAAGGCGGCUUCCUGGACCGACACUGACGCUGAGGCGCGAAAGCUAGGGGAGCAAACGGG
rnacentral:rRNA from 1 species